UAGGGAAUCUUCGGCCAUGGACGAAAGUCUGACCGAGCAACGCCGCGUGAGUGAAGAAGGUUCUCGGAUCGUAAAACUCUGUUGUUAGAGAAGAACAAGGACGUUAGUAACUGAACGUCCCCUGACGGUAUCUAACCAGAAAGCCACGGCUAACUACGUGCCAGCAGCCGCGGUAAUACGUAGGUGGCAAGCGUUGUCCGGAUUUAUUGGGCGUAAAGCGAGCGCAGGCGGUUUCUUAAGUCUGAUGUAAAAGCCCCCGGCUCAACCGGGGAGGGUCAUUGGAAACUGGGAGACAUGAGUGCAGAAGGGGAGGGUGGAAUUCCAUGUGUAGCGGUGAAAUGCGUAGAUAUAUGGAGGAAAACCAGUGGCGAAGGCGGCUCUCUGGUCUGUAACUGACGCUGAGGCUCGAAGGCGUGGGGAGCAAACAGG
rnacentral:rRNA from 1 species